UUCCCACGCCGGGAAUCGAACCCGGGCCUUCUGGAUGGAAGUCGAAUAUCUUAGACACUAUACAAUGUGGGA